ACACUCCUACGGGAGGCAGCAGUGGGGAAUAUUGCACAAUGGGCGCAAGCCUGAUGCAGCCAUGCCGCGUGUAUGAAGAAGGCCUUCGGGUUGUAAAGUACUUUCAGCGGGGAGGAAGGUGUUGAGGUUAAUAACCUCAGCAAUUGACGUUACCCGCAGAAGAAGCACCGGCUAACUCCGUGCCAGCAGCCGCGGUAAUACGGAGGGUGCAAGCGUUAAUCGGAAUUACUGGGCGUAAAGCGCACGCAGGCGGUCUGUCAAGUCGGAUGUGAAAUCCCCGGGCUCAACCUGGGAACUGCAUUCGAAACUGGCAGGCUAGAGUCUUGUAGAGGGGGGUAGAAUUCCAGGUGUAGCGGUGAAAUGCGUAGAGAUCUGGAGGAAUACCGGUGGCGAAGGCGGCCCCCUGGACAAAGACUGACGCUCAGGUGCGAAAGCGUGGGGAGCAAACAGGAUUAGAAACCCGGGUAGUCCCAUGA
rnacentral:rRNA from 1 species